GAUGAACGCUGGCGGCGUGCUUAACACAUGCAAGUCGAACGAGCGGCGGACGGGUGAGUAAUGUCUGGGAAACUGCCUGAUGGAGGGGGAUAACUACUGGAAACGGUAGCUAAUACCGCAUACUAUCAGAUGUGCCCAGAUGGGAUUAGCUAGUGGGUGGGGUAAUGGCUCACCUAGGCGACGAUUCCUAGCUGGUCUGAGAGGAUGACCAGCCACACUGGGACUGAGACACGGCCCAGACUCCUACGGGAGGCAGCAGUGGGGAAUAUUGGACAAUGGGGGAAAGCCUGAUGCAGCCAUGCCGCGUGUGUGAAGAAGGCCUUCGGGUUGUAAAGCACUUUCAGCGAGGAGGCGUUACUCGCAGAAGAAGCACCGGCUAACUCCGUGCCAGCAGCCGCGGUAAUUC
rnacentral:rRNA from 1 species